rnacentral:tRNA from 1 species
AUUUAUAUAGUUUAAUAAAAACUUUAUAUUUUCAUUAUAAUAAUAAUAUUUUAUAUUUAUAAAUU